rnacentral:sRNA from 21 species
GUAGCGCGAAACUAGGGUUCCGGCUUCUUUUUCGAAGUGUCUGGUCCGAGAGUUUCCGGCUUCGUCAUGACGAGGCUCCACGGAGGGAUAAAAGCCCGGGAGAU